GAUGAUGAUACUAUGGAAAAAUUUAUACUUCCUGUGCUAUCCAUCUUACAGUCUGAAGGAACUGGGUCACAAAUGCUCCGUUCUAGUUCACUGCUGCUCCACAUUACAGCAUCAGCGACCGGCGCCAGCUCCCUGAUCCCAGCACAGCAAAACUCCAUCUGGGUCGCAGUGCAGGUGGGAUGACUAUGCCUGCAGGUACGUGGUGCCCGUGUGUGGAGGGCCCUUCUCUUUUCAAACAGAAUUAAACACUAGUUGGCAAAGAGUACGAGCUGCACGUGAUCUUUGAUAAGGCUCUCGAUGCAGCGUUUCUUAAGUGAAAACAUAAUUCAAAAAUUAUCUUGGAUGAGAACUCUGCCAUUAGGCAAUGACAAGUAAAGGGUAAUGAUCAAAAAGUACUGUAGCUAGCAGAGAGCUGCAGGAGUCAUCGCUUAGUCCAGUCGUCCUUAACAUCUGUGGAAGAGCAGGAGCAGCAUAUUGCUAUUUUGGAGCGGAUAGUUAGCUGGGAAAUGUUGAAAGUAUCCAUACAGAUAAAGGGGAAGGACUGAAGUGGGUCUAGGAAGAGAAAAGAUAAAAACUGCUGCUUAGAAAAUUAUCUGAAAUAGGGAUAAUGUGGAGAAAAGUGAUAAUAAUACAGACUUCAGAAGAGCAAAACAGAACAGAUUAAUAGAUGGGCGUCUGUAUUUCAGUGUAAUAGACAAAAAUCACUUUGGGUUUAUAUAUGCAGAAUUAAUGAACCAGGAAAGAAAGAAAGAAAAGUGAGAGAGAAUACAAUAUGCAUACAUACACCCUCCAAAUUUCCUUUGCCUGGUAAGUCUGAUAACUUUUCUUGUAACUCAGUAGGGAGUUACAGAGACGACAUCUAUCAGGGGAAGACCUCUGCUUUGGAACUGGUCGUCUAAGAAGGUGUGUGAACUUUAAGUCUGACAAAACAUUAUGGUUUAUGCCCCAACAAGGAGUGUCCCAUAGUUCUCUGGCUCUGAAUGCUUUCCCUUCCUUUACAGUCUUUAUUAUUUUCCUGCAUUUAGCAUCCAAAUAGGAUCCUUCACUAUUCAUUGGGGGAACUGAAUCCAGGAAUGUUUGGCAAAUGCUGUUUAUCUGUGAUUUAAAUAUAUGAAGAAUAGAUGUGAAGUGCUAGCUUCACAUUUCUGCUAGCUUUUGGGUUUCUAGAUUUAAGAUGAAGUCA
rnacentral:lncRNA from 1 species